AUGCACGCUGGCGGCGUGCCUAACACAUGCCAGUCGCGCGGCAGCGAGGGGUGCUUGCACCCUGUCGGCGAGCGGCGGACGGCUGAGUAACGCGUGGGAACGUGCCCCAAAGUGAGGAAUAACUGCCCGAAAGGGUAGCUAAUACCGCAUAUUAUCUUCGGAUCAAAGGAUUUAUCCGCUUUGGGAGCGGCUCGCGUCGGAUUAGGUAGUUGGUGAGGUAAUGGCUCACCAAGCCGACGAUCCGUAGCUGGUCUGAGAGGAUGACCAGCCAGACUGGAACUGAGACACGGUCCAGACUCCUACGGGAGGCAGCAGUGAGGAAUCUUCCACAAUGGGCGAAAGCCUGAUGGAGCAACGCCGCGUGCAGGACGAAGGCCUUCGGGUUGUAAACUGCUUUUAUAAGUGAGGAAUAUGACGGUAACUUAUGAAUAAGGAUCGGCUAACUACGUG
rnacentral:rRNA from 1 species